UGUUUUCAGAGGAAAAAUCCUUUUCUACAAUAGUUAUUGAAGGGAAAGUGAUUCCUAAAUGUAAAGAAGAAGAAGAAGAAAGGCUAUUUAGAGCUGUCCUUUGCAAUCACAGAAUCCUGACAGCUGCUGGGUGCUUUGGGUGUCUGUGCAAACAGAUUAAACUGUUUAGAUUGCCACUGAAUAUGAGUGAGAAGACCAGCAGAGUUCAGCCCUUUCUGGAGAUGCCUUUCCAGCUCACUGCAGGAGCAACAGCCCUGGUGUAAUUCCAGGAAGGAAGCAGAACUCCUGGAGUCAGCAUGGCAGGGUUUGUCACAGGCUCAUGUUUUACUCCCUACAUGGAGCAUUUCAUGUCGGCAUGCACAGAGCAUUCCCUUCUUCUCCCUAGAAAUGUUCUCUCCAGACUCAGCAGCAGCCCAGGAGCUGCUAACACUGAUGUGAGAAGGGCAGGCCGGCGUUUCGGUGUCUGUCCCCUCUCUCCAUGUUUCCCGGAUCCAUCUGCUCAGCACUUGCCGGGAAGGACAUGCUUUUCUGCUCAUUCAGUCAGGGGCAAUGGAGAGUCCCUUUCAGCUGCAGCAUCCUGUGGCCUUCAGACAACUGAAAUAUCAGUUAUGGAACAGCAACAGGCAGGAGUCAAAGUAUGUGGAGCUAUUUCUAUGGCUGAAGAGAAGACAGCUGGUCAGCCACAAAUACCAUUCUUACAAGUGCAGUCCCAAUAGCCACAUUAUGAAUUAAAAGCAGAAGAAUGCAGCUAUCACAUGAGGAGCACUCAGCUGGUCCAGGAGCAGGAGCUGUGCACUCUGGGGAAGGUAAGCUCUAAUCCUCAGCUACCACUGUCCCCCUGAUCCUGUCACACUGAUCCACGACUCAGCCCCAGACACGUACAGACAGGCCAUGCAAAAUGUCUGUUAUAAAUAAAAUGAGCACUCCUUGAAAUCAUCUAGUUUUGAAGGCAGACUGUCACUUUGAACUUCUAGGCACUUGAGGAAAGCUCCUUUGUGCAGGUUGCAGGAACCAUGAGGAAUUUCACAUGCUGUGCAGACAUCUCUGGUAGCCAGAGACGAGUGCCUAUUUUCAGCCUGGAUGCUGCUCUGGUAGCUGUCAUUAUGAAUCCUGAUCCUUUCCUGGUCUUGCCUGUGAAAGGGAGCUGCAGUAGCUCUGGGGGGAGCCUUAAGUCCUUAAAAGGAGUGUGGGAGUUUCAAGACUUUUCUUCCUCUUCUUACCCCACUGAAGGCAAUUCAGAGUUCACCCUGCCUGAAUUCACAGUCUGGGGAGAAUGUGCUUUACUGUAGGUGGCUCUGAAUUGAGCUUGCAUUUAUUUCACUGAUGGCAAUUACAGAGCAGGCACUGGAGCAGACUGAUGUUCAGUGAGCAGUAAUGCUGGCCUACUUGCAAGUUUGCAUGAAGCUUCUCUGCUCUAAGAAACUCAAAGCAUUUUCAAAGAAAACUGGAAUUCCCUCUCACUGCUUUACAAAGGCAGAAACUGAGACCCAGAGAGCUGUGACUUCCCCCACCUCAUCUAGUGAGGUGAUAACAGCUACAGAAAUAGAAUUCAUGACUUCCAGACCCUCUCCUCCUCCUGACCACUAACACAUUUUGCCACCCAAGAAGACCAUUUGCCAUGUCAUCAUCAAGGCAUAUCUGGGUAACACAGUUUCUCCAUCUAUACAGCCUUUGUUUUUUGUAAGCCUCACUUCCCUAUCUGUGGGGAAUAACAACACUUGACUGCUUCAAAGGGGUGCAGAGAAUAACUGAACUCAAGGCUCUGCAGUAUGCAUAUAUGGUAGUGGACACCUUGCAAGUAUUAAUACUUACAUUUGGAGACUCUACUAUUAAUUCUGUGCCUGACUGCUGCUGUUCAAAUUAUAUACAUUAACUCCUUCAGCUCAAAUUCUCUGUCUUCCUUUUCCAUCCAAGCAGAGUUACAGACAUUAACAGGACUAUCAAAACCUCUCAGUUUAAGUCUGCAAAACGAGUGUGUUCAAAGCCAGCAUUUUCCAGGUGAUUCACUGAAUUGCACCAAAGCAUCCUGAGCA